GGUCCGAAAAAUAACUGAUUGAAACAUCAAACGGAUUUUCUUAAUCAAAGUUAAUCGAAAAUUUAAUUCAUGCAAUAGAUAAAAAUAUCUGGCUCAUGUUUACGCUGAUUAAUGUGGCAUGACGAGUUGACAACCUGAUAUAUUUUGAAGAGCAUAUAGCAAUCAUUCCAGUAUUAUCCAUUUCGUGGUUCGGAAAGCAAAUCUGCUCAAGAGAUCGAUGAUUAUCCUCGUAGUCACUUUUGCCAAUUCUCAUAAUCUGGCCAUGGCAGAAUGUUCACUUUAAUAAAAAAAA